GCAAUGUAAAAUUCGAUCAAAACUCGGUGAGUUUUUCUCUCCUGCUUCCUGUUAGUACCAAGGGCCGGAGCGACAUCAGGCUUGGCCUAUGAUUUCUAUUCUUUGGAUAUCAACCCAAAGAAUUUCACAGCCUCACUGCACUGCCUAACUCUCUCCCGGACUCAGCCCAUCUUUCUCCACCUGUUUUCCCUUCUCAAGCUUCUGCACCUGGAUCAUCUUGCAGACGGAGGGAGGUCGAUACAGUUUACCAUUUCUCUGUCUCAGCUGUUCUGCUGGUCACCUCCUAGCAGCCCUCACGGGGUGGGCAGGAUUGUGGCUGUCUCGCUUGCUUUCCACAGCAUUUCCAACUGCCUUUGAGGUUUUACCAUUGACACUUUUGAAUAGCACCGUCAUUUUGUCGUCCCACUCUGGAUGCCGUCAUCUGUAUUCUGAUUUCAUCUCACCUCGAGACCAGGUUGUCUAAGCCUUAUUUUAUUUUAUUUUUUUCCUAUUUUGACUUGAGACAGCUUUUCGUUUACUCUUCACAUCAGUGGGUAUCUGGGACGCUGCGGCUUUAACUUUGAAACAUGGUCACGUGCAGCCGGGGUGCUUUUACCGUGGGUCUCAUAGGCUAGUGGAGUGGGGGCUGGGAUCUGGAAGAAGAGCCCCAGGACAAAGACGGCCUUGUCAUUGGUUAUGAGCAAGUGCAAGUCUCUGCUUCGGAGCUGGGGAAGACAGGUUUGAGAAGACUUAGGGAAGGAGAUUCCUCUCGUCAGUGUGGACUCUAUCCCAGAUGCCAGGGAAAGUCUCUGGGAAUUCCCUAGGAUCUGUGCUCAGCUUGAGAGGCUUCCAAGAGACAUUAUCUCAGUACAUUCCAUUUUAAUAAAGAACAUGGAAGAAGACGGCAUCUGGGAAGCAUGUGCAGCCAACAGAACUGAUAUAGGUAAAAAGAAUUCUUUUUGCCUGUGGUAAAUCCGCAACUGCUUGGUCAACAUGGAUUUCUUGCCACUAAAUCUUCGGGGGAAGAGCCUCAAAGGGAAGAGCCUCAAAGGGAGAGGAAUUCAACAUACAAGGCCCUGCGAGGCCACAUCAAUCGUGUAAACUGAGAUGCAUGUGCUGCUGGGUUCCCACUGACCGAGCGUGUUGGCAGCUCCCUCCACCAGCCUGGAAUGCACACAAACCCCGGGGCUGCGCUCCCUCCUUUUAUCACAAAGGAGCUCAUUUUGUGAAUGAACAGCCGUCGCCAGCAGCACGUUGGUAUUCCCAGUGACCUUUGCCCGGGGAUUGGAUUCCCGCCCAGCAGGGAGACCGGGGCCCUAGGAAAAGUUUGAUGUUUUUAGGUAUCAAAGGAAGGUCUCCAGGAACCCUGCAACUAAAGACUUUAAUGAGGACCAUGCCCGAGAAAUCCCGGCUGCCAAAGACAUGAUGAUGAUUUAUGUCGCUCACUCACUCCCUAACAGCAAGAGGACUAUUUGUAAAAAUAAAAAAGCUGCUCAUAUGGAAUUAAACAAGAGCAUAGCUGCUUCCUUCCAGACCCUGGGAGCUUAACAAAGAGCAUCCACACUGCGCGGCCAGCAGCACAUGGCCCAGGGCCGGCCGUCUUCCUGUCACACAGCGCUCAGACAGCCGCGCACGCUCCCUGUCGGCGGACCCCAACAGGCACAUGCCCAGGGAAGCACAAACUCGGGUCGGACACAAAAGGGUCUACACUGACCUCAGGCCUCAGCUGAGCCACCGAAGGGCUCUGAGCAUCAAGAGGUGGGCAGAGGCACAGGCCGCUGCCGUGGUCGCCCCCAGGGCCUGGCCGCAAGAUGGUUAGCGCCCCUCUUUGUUCUUGGUGUCGGACCGCUGAGCGACCCAUGGGUGCCACCUGGGUUCUGGCCAGCUCGCCAAAGGGGGAAGAGAUACAUUCUAAUGCCUCCCUUUCCUCAUGUUAGCUGAGGCCACCUCAGAGUCUUGAUAGCAGUACGGAGACGAAGCGUAGGACACGUGGAACGCAACGCUGACACCUGCUGAUGAUUAUUAUCGAUCUAUAUUGCGGCUGCCACCAAUGGGGCCGCUCAGACCUCCUGCUGCAGUGACAGUACUUGACCGAGGGACUGGUCUAUGUUCUUGCAGGUCACGAUCGGUCAGGUGCUCCACAAAAGGGACCCCAGGGGAGACACAAGAAAACAGUGUGUUAUACUCACGGGACCUAGACAGGAGGUUACCGUAGGGCAUGCAAGGCCACGGUGGGGGGUGGGGGGUGGGGGAAGACCCCGGUUCUGGUCAAGUGACAGAAGACAGGAAAGCCUACACCAUGACCUUCGUUGGAGUUUCUGCAAGCAAGGCAGGGCAGAGGAAACAGUUUAGGAUUUUGACGAGUAAGAAUAAUUUCGGUGGAUUCUGGGCCGUAGCGUGGGCUCUAAUUGCCUCCGACCUGGUCCUGGCAUAAUUAAGGCAGGGGAUUAUUGCCUCCUGGGCCGUUCAGGCCAGAGAAAGAGCUUCGUGCUCUGGAUUGGUUAGCUUGCACAUCGGAGGCAUGCUCCUGGCUGAGGUCUUUGUUAUCCCAGAACUGGCCAGCCCCUGCAGGAGCAGUCCCUCUCCAGCCAGAAAAGGUUUUUUUUAAAUGUCAAAACGUUAUAAAAUACGCAAAAUUAAAAAAAACUAUGUACAGAGAUUGGAUUUGUGGCUACCAGAGGCAGGAGUUGGAGGGCAGAGGAAUUGGAGGAAGGUGGUCCUAAAAUAAAUAAGUAAUGAAGUAAGUAAAUAGCGUGUGUGCACAAUACAUGGCCCCAGCCGCUGUGCUCUAAAUUCAAGUUUGCACCGUGCUCGCCCCAAGGCCACACUUCCUGCUGGCCGCUCUAAGUCGUUGAUGCAGAAGAGGCAGGGAUGCCCACGUGUGCUCAUUCUCGAGAAGACCUGGGACUUCUCUGUUGGCAACUUCCGCUCAAGGACACCCCCAGGAGUUUAGCGUGGAUCCGUUUCUGGGAACUGAACUGGUGCCCGAGACUCUCCUACCCCAUCUCCUCGACGGGGGUCAGAACCACACUGGGUCUGAAGGCUCUCUCCCUGCCUUGUCUGCUUACCACCCCCUACCCCACAGCCCAUUUUCUCCUACAGACAAUUCCCCUCAAAUAACAGCAGUCAUUCGCUAUGUGUCUAAAUCCCUCUUUUGGUGUCUGCUUUGGGGGACCUGACCUGACGCAUAUACUAAGUGGGCUAUUAUUCUAUGUUGUAUAGUAUCAGCAACUUUUCUGAUGUACAGACGCGUGCUAGCUCUUUUACUUAGUCACUCAACCUUGAAUAAAAACAUUGACUAGGUAUGCCGUGAGUGAUGCUGAGGAGACAGAGAUGUUAUAGAUUGAAUGUUUGUUUAUGCCCCAUUCGCCCUCCCAAGUUUCUAUGUUGAAAUCUAACCCCUGAUGUGAUGGUGUUAGGGAAAAAUCUGUUAUUAGAUGACCGACAGGACUGAUGAGGGAAUUCCAGUCCUUGCCAGAAGGCUCCCCUUCCGGGAUUUCCUUCCUACCCCCCUGCCGCAGGUGCCAAAUUACUAUUAGUGAGGGAGGCGGAAGUAACAGACUAUAAAUUGUCCCCUCCGUUGCCGCUCUGGGCUCAGAUCUCUGGAGAAUGAUCUCCUCUGGGCCCACCGGUGUAAAAUAAACCUCCUUCCUUCCAAGA